rnacentral:rRNA from 1 species
UACGUAGGUGGCAAGCGUUGUCCGGAUUUACUGGGCGUAAAGGGCGUGCAGGCGGUUUGUUAAGUUCAGGGUGAAAGCUCCCGGCUCAACUGGGAGAGGUCCUUGGAUACUGGCAGACUUGAGGAGGGUAGAGGAGAGUGGAAUUCCUAGUGUAGAGGUGAAAUUCGUAGAUAUUAGGAAGAACACCAGUGGCGAAGGCGGCUCACUGGCCCGGUACUGACGCUGAGGCGCGAAAGCGUGGGGAGCAAACAGG